AAUCAACGCUGGCGGCGUGCCUAACACAUGCAAGUCGAACGAGAAAGUGGAGCAAUCCAUGAGUAAAGUGGCGCACGGGUGAGUAACACGUGACUAACCUACCCUUGAGUGGGGGAUAACCUAGGGAAACCUGGGCUAAUACCGCAUAAUACCUACGGGUCAAAGGAGCAAUUCGCUUUAGGAGGGGGUCGCGGCAGAUUAGUUAGUUGGCGGGGUAAUGGCCCACCAAGACGAUGAUCNGUAUCCGGCCUGAGAGGGCGCACGGACACACUGGAACUGAAACACGGUCCAGACUCCUACGGGAGGCAGCAGUGGGGAAUUUUGCGCAAUGGGGGAAACCCUGACGCAGCAACGCCGCGUGGAGGAUGAAGACCCUUGGGUCGUAAACUCCUUUCGAUCGGGACGAUAAUGACGGUACCGGAAGAAGAAGCCCCGGCUAACUUCGUGCCAGCAGCCGCCGCAGU
rnacentral:rRNA from 1 species